AGAGUUUGAUCCUGGCUCAGGACGAACGCUGGCGGCGUGCCUAAUACAUGCAAGUCGAGAGAGCUUGCCUAGAUGAUUUUAGUGCUUGCACUAAAUGAAACUAGAUACAAGCGAGCGGCGGACGGGUGAGUAACACGUGGGUAACCUGCCCAAGAGACUGGGAUAACACCUGGAAACAGAUGCUAAUACCGGAUAACAACACUAGACGCAUGUCUAGAGUUUGAAAGAUGGUUCUGCUAUCACUCUUGGAUGGACCUGCGGUGCAUUAGCUAGUUGGUAAGGUAACGGCUUACCAAGGCAAUGAUGCAUAGCCGAGUUGAGAGACUGAUCGGCCACAUUGGGACUGAGACACGGCCCAAACUCCUACGGGAGGCAGCAGUAGGGAAUCUUCCACAAUGGACGAAAGUCUGAUGGAGCAACGCCGCGUGAGUGAAGAAGGGUUUCGGCUCGUAAAGCUCGGUUGGUAGUGAAGAAAGAUAGAGGUAGUAACUGGCCUUUAUUUGACGGUAAUUACUUAGAGAGUCACGGCUAACUACGUGCCAGCAGCCGCGGUAAUACGUAGGUGGCAAGCGUUGUCCGGAUUUAUUGGGCGUAAAGCGAGUGCAGGCGGUUCAAUAAGUCUGAUGUGAAAGCCUUCGGCUCAACCGGAGAAUUGCAUCAGAAACUGUUGAACUUGAGUGCAGAAGAGGAGAGUGGAACUCCAUGUGUAGCGGUGGAAUGCGUAGAUAUAUGGAAGAACACCAGUGGCGAAGGCGGCUCUCUGGUCUGCAACUGACGCUGAGGCUCGAAAGCAUGGGUAGCGAACAGGAUUAGAUACCCUGGUAGUCCAUGCCGUAAACGAUG
rnacentral:rRNA from 1 species